ACGGCUCAGUAACACGUGGCUAACCUGCCCUCGGGACGAGAACACCCCCGGGAAACUGGGGCUAAUUCUCGAUAGGCGAAGAACUCUGGAAUGAGUCUUUACCCAAAAGACGUUUAGAUCAUGCUUCUAGGCGUCGCCCAAGGAUGGGGCCGCGACCGAUCAGGUAGUUGGUGAGGCAAUGGCUCACCAAGCCUUUAACCGGUGCGGGCCGUGGGAGCGGGAGCCCGGAGAUGGGCACUGAGACAAGGGCCCAGGUCCUACGGGGCGCAGCAGUCGCGAAAACUUUGCAAUACACGAAAGUGUGACAGGGUCAUCCCGAGUGCCGACCGCUGAGGUUGGCUUUUACCCAGUCUAGAAAGCUGGGGGAAUAAGGAGAGGGCAAGUCUGGUGUCAGCCGCCGCGGUAAUACCAGCUCUCCGAGUGGUGUGGACGUUUAUUGGGCCUAAAGCAUCCGUAGCUGGCUGAACAAGUCCCCUGUUAAACCCACCGAUUUAAUCGUUGGUCUGCGGGGGAUACUGCUCGGCUAGGGGACGAGAGAGGCAGACGGUAUUCCCGGGGUAGGGGUGAAAUCCUAUAAUCCCGAGAAGACCACCAGUGGCGAAGGCUGUCUGCUAGAACGCGCCCGACGGUGAGGGAUGAAAGCUGGGGGAGCGAACCGGAUUAGAUACCCGGGUAGUCCCAGCUGUAAACGAUGCAGACUAGGUGUUUGGACGGCCACGUGCCGUUCUAGUGCCGCAGGGAAGCUGUUAAGUCUGCCGCCUGGGGAGUACGAUCGCAAGAUUGAAACUUAAAGGAAUUGGCGGGGGAGCAC
rnacentral:rRNA from 1 species